AAAAAGAAAAAAGCAGCUUGCAAUCCCACUGCGGCAGCAGAUGAAAGGCAGCAGGAUGUUCUGGAAACUGUCGUCGGGGAGUGGGGACUGCAUCCUGGCUGUUAACUCCCCUUCAUUCCAUCCUGCCGGUGCAUUCACUGCACACCACCACCAUGGCCUCACAGAAAACUCAGCGUAAGUACCAGGGUGUGGACACAAGGAGAAAUCUCUGGCCUGUGAGUCUCACACUGAGGACGGUCUCCGGUUGCAGGCAGGGACUUUCGCUUCUCGCAGGCGGAGUCUGCAGUUCACUGCAGGACUCCUGAUGCCACAUCUGGGCCAUGUCUGGGUGGUGGGCUGUCCCAGGCCCAUCUGUCCUCUCUACUCUCCUCAGGCCUGGCUCCAGGGUGGAAAGGAAACCCUAAAACUGCACUUGUUCUUGGCUGAAGCUUAUAAUCCCAGCACUCUAGGAGGCUAAGGCAGGAUUGUAAAUCGAGCCCAGCCUGGGUAGUUUAACAAUUUAUGAAGACCCUGUCUGAAGCCAGGCGUGGUAAUCCCUGCACUCAGGAAGCUGAGGCAGGCAGAUCACCCUGAGUCAAGGCCAACACCAGCUCGUGGGCCCCAAGGCCCCAACAAGGACCCUCACCCACCCUUUUUUUGGGGGGGGCUUUUUGAGACAAGGUCUUACUAAGUAGUUGAGACUGACCUGGAAUUCACUAUGUAGCCUAGGCUGGUCUGGAACUCACAGUGACCCUCCUGCCUCAGCCUCCUGAGUGCUGGGAUUACAGGCUUGCACCACCAUGCCUGGCCUCACGCACUCUUUUUUGCAGGUGUGCGCACUCCCAUCCCGGAAACAGUGCUCGGAUUUGUUAGAGACGGAGAUGCAGGAUGCUCUGAAGAGCAGAGUGCGGUCUCAGAGCAGGGAGCAGGUGCUAAAGUGGAGCUCAGUGGUCCAGGAGGCGGCCCUGGGUUGGACCCCCAGAACCCCAAGAAACAACAGCAAGAAACAAAGCCGGGCGUGGUGUCACACGGCUGUAAUCCCAGCACUCAGGAGGCUGAGGCAGGAGGAUCCCUGUGAGUUCAAGACCAACCUAGCUACAUAGUGAAUUCCAGGUCAGUCUCAACUACACAGAGACCCUGUCUCAAAAAAAAAAAAAAAAAAAAAAAAAAAGCAAGAAACAUUCAAAAGCGUGUCCCUAGGACCAGCUAGCAAAAAGGCAAAACCACUGCCGUUAGAACUUGGUUACUGGGCUCUGAGCUCUCUGCGACUAAGGGCAGGGAUGGGUCCAGGUCUGGAACCUGGGGAAGCGGGAAGCAGGGGCUGCGGGCUAAGCUCGGCCCCUCCUCUCUCAAAGUCCACCCUGGGCCCGCUCUGCCUGCUGCGGGCUUCGCGACCCUGGCUGCACCACGACGCCCUGCACCGGUCCUCGCUGGGUGCCCACGACCUGGCUCGGGCUCACUGUCCCUGCGCGUCUCCCCUGCAGUGAUCGGACCCCAGCCCCAGCCCGAUCUCGGGUGAGAGCAGAAAGAACGUUAGGGACGCACCGGUGACCGGCCGAGUGGGGCCUGCGCACCUCCCGAGCCUGCAAAACCGGGCUCACGAAUGCACGCGCCCAUCCACGUGCAACAGCG
ensembl:lincRNA